ACAGAAGUGAAAGCGCCAGGGCUGACUAUGUGAUAGGCAGCUGACGAGGUGGGGGUUUAUCGAAUCAUUCGGCGGAUGCCUCCCGGUACCAUGUCAGUACCGUAAACUCAUCUGAAAUCGUUUAAGUGAUUAGACGGACAGGCAGAUGCGUGAUGACAAC
rfam:Exiguobacterium sibiricum 255-15, complete genome.